rnacentral:lncRNA from 1 species
CCUGUCUCCUUCUGUACUGUGGAAGCUUUGCUCUUUUACUCUGCAAUAAAUCUUGCUGCUGCUAACUGUUUGGGUCCACGCUACCUCUAUAAGCUGUAACACUCACCAUAAAGGUCUUACAGCUUCAUUCCUGAAGCCAGUGAGACCACGAACCCAGCAGGAGGAACGAACAACUCCAGACGCGCUGCCUUAAGAGCUGUUAACACUCACCGCAAGGUCUGCAGCUUCACUCCUGAAGCCAGAGAGACCACGAACCCAGCAGGAGGAAUGAACAACUCCAGAUGCGCCGCCUUAAGAGCUGUAACGCUCACCGCGAAGGUCUGCAGCCUCACUCCUGAGCCAGCGAGACCACGAACCCACCAGAAGGAAGAAACUCCGAACACAUCCGAACCUCGGAAGGAAGAAACUCCAAACACAUCCAAACAUCAGAAGGAACAAACUCUGCACACACCGCCUUUAAGAACUGUAACACUCACCACCAGGGUUCGCGGCUUCAUUCUUGAAGUCAGUGAGACCAAGAAGCCACCAAUUCCGGACACAAUAUGAAGGGGGAAUCUGGAAUAUUUCAAGAUAAGGUCCAAUUCUUCCAUUGUCUCGUAAUCCAAUGCAGAGAUGUGAAAUGUAAGAUCAUCUGAAGGAGAGCUUUGGUUCAAGUCAAAUGCAUGCCUCAACCUAGCAGAGCCAAAGAGAUACUUGUAUGAUGUAAGUCAGAUUAUGUCAUUCUUCUGCUCAAAACUCUCCAAUAAAUAGCUCACCAUUCCCUUCAGAGAAAAGCCAAAGGACUUAAAAUGGCCAACAAAGCCUAUGAUCUGCACCCCCCUCCUCCCUCUACCUCACUUCAUCUUUCUCCCUGACUCACUUGGUUUCAGUCCUACUUGCCUGAUAUGUUCCCUCAAUUACACUCCCAUUUCAGGACAUUUGCACUGACUGUUUCCUCUGCCUGGACCCCACUUGCUCCAGCUUUGCACAUGGCUACCUCCCUUACUUUCUUCAGGUGCUUGCUAAAAUACCGUCCUCUCAAUGAGGCCUACCCUGAGCACCCUAUUUAAAAUUGUAACCUGCCGUUCCCUCCCCCUACAAGCUUUCAAAUUUCGUCAUCUUUUUUUAGUUUUUGCUAUAACAAUUAAUCACUUUCUAAUAUACUAAUUCUAAUAAGAAUUUACUUAUUUAUAUAUUUAUUGCUUAACGUCUAUAUCUGUCUGUGAGAAUAUAAGGCCCAUGAAGUCAGGGAUCUUUUUCUGUUCUUAACAUUGUUGUAUUCCAAAUGGGAGACUGUUGCUUGGCUCAUGGUAAUCACUCAGUUAAUAGCUGUCACAUUAAUUAAUCCUUGCCAUCUCUUCUGUGCUGGAAUUUGUCCAUGAUAGAAGCCUCCUGAUCUGCCAGACCAGUGUUGUCCUAAUAUUUUAUUCAGUCCAGAAUCUGUAAUGUUUUUAUUGCCAAUAAAGCAUGUGAAAGGAAAAUAAA